CAGUCGCCACGGGAAUACGUAGGUGGCAAGCGUUGUCCGGAAUUAUUGGGCGUAAAGGGCCCGCAGGCGGUUUCUUAAGUCUGAUGUGAAAGCCCCCGGCUCAACCGGGGAGGGUCAUUGGAAACUGGGAAACUUGAGUGCAGAAGAGGAGAGUGGAAUUCCACGUGUAGCGGUGAAAUGCGUAGAGAUGUGGAGGAACACCAGUGGCGAAGGCGACUCUCUGGUCUGUAACUGACGCUGAGGAGCGAAAGCGUGGGGAGCGAACAGGAUUAGAUACCCGCGUAGUCCCUGUCUCUUAUAC
rnacentral:rRNA from 1 species